rnacentral:rRNA from 1 species
GACGAACGCUGGCGGCGUGCCUAAUACAUGCAAGUAGAACGCACAGUUUAUACCGUAGCUUGCUACACCAUAGACUGUGAGUUGCGAACGGGUGAGUAACGCGUAGGUAACCUGCCUGGUAGCGGGGGAUAACUAUUGGAAACGAUAGCUAAUACCGCAUAAUAUUAAUUAUUGCAUGAUAAUUAAUUGAAAGGUGCAAUUGCACCACUACCAGAUGGACCUGCGUUGUAUUAGCUAGUAGGUGAGGUAACGGCUCACCUAGGCGACGAUACAUAGCCGACCUGAGAGGGUGAUCGGCCACACUGGGACUGAGACACGGCCCAGACUCCUACGGGAGGCAGCAGUAGGGAAUCUUCGGCAAUGGACGAAAGUCUGACCGAGCAACGCCGCGUGAGUGAAGAAGGUUUUCGGAUCGUAAAGCUCUGUUGUAAGAAAAGAACGGGUGUGAGAGUGGAAAGUUCACACUGUGACGGUAUCUUACCAGAAAGGGACGGCUAACUACGU